rnacentral:misc_RNA from 1 species
AUGGAUGUUCUCAAGCUGACCUUCUCCAGAGGCUUCGCUUCAUCGGGAUCUGAUGAGAAUGACGUCGUCGUCAUCGGCGGCGGCCCCGGAGGCUAUGUCGCCGCCAUCAAGGCCGCUCAGCUUGGCCUCAAAACCACCUGCAUCGAGAAGCGUGGGACUCUCGGCGGUACUUGUCUCAAUGUUGGUUGUAUCCCCUCCAAGGCUCUUCUUCAUUCCUCCCACAUGUAUCAUGAAGCUAAACAUGCAUUUGCAAGCCAUGGGGUGAAGUUUUCUUCUGUUGAGGUUGAUUUGCCUGCCAUGAUGGCACAGAAAGAUAAAGCAGUUGCUAAUCUGACCCGAGGUAUUGAAGGCUUGUUCAAGAAGAAUAAAGUGACCUAUGUGAAAGGUUAUGGAAAGCUAAUCUCCCCUUCUGAAGUUUCUGUUGACACCAUCGAUGGGGGAAACACGGUUGUGAAAGGAAAGAGUAUUAUAAUUGCUACUGGUUCUGAUGUCAAGUCCUUACCUGGGAUCACCAUUGAUGAGAAGAGAAUUAUUUCAUCUACAGGAGCUUUAGCCUUGACUGAAAUUCCCAAAAAGCUUGUGGUCAUCGGAGCUGGUUACAUUGGUCUAGAGAUGGGUUCGGUAUGGGGACGACUUGGCUCAGAGGUAACUGUUGUUGAGUUUGCUCCUGAUAUUGUCCCCACCAUGGAUGCAGAAGUUCGCAAGCAAUUCCAACGCUCUCUAGAGAAGCAAGGAAUGAAAUUUAAGCUCAAAACUAAGGUGGUAGGAG